UUAGCUCAUAUUUGUAUGGAAUGUGAUCAUCUGCCUACGUUUGCCGCUAGGGGCGCUGUUCCAACUGCAUACAAAAUUGAGUUA
rnacentral:pre_miRNA from 1 species